rnacentral:tRNA from 1 species
AUCGACGUGGUGGAAUUGGCAGACACACAUGGCUUAGAACCAUGCGCAGUAAUGCAUGCGAGUUCAAGUCUCGCCGUCGAUA